rnacentral:rRNA from 1 species
AACGAACGCUGGCGGCAGGCCUAACACAUGCAAGUCGAGCGAGGACUUCGGUUCUAGCGGCGGACGGGUGAGUAACGCGUGGGAAUGUGCCCUUCUCUACGGAAUAGCCCUGGGAAACUGGGAGUAAUACCGUAUACGCCCUUUUGGGGAAAGAUUUAUCGGAGAAGGAUCAGCCCGCGUUGGAUUAGGUAGUUGGUGGGGUAAUGGCCUACCAAGCCGACGAUCCAUAGCUGGUUUGAGAGGAUGAUCAGCCACACUGGGACUGAGACACGGCCCAGACUCCUACGGGAGGCAGCAGUGGGGAAUCUUAGACAAGGGUGGCAAUCCUGAUCUAGCCAUGCCGCGUGAAUGCUGAAGGCCUUAGGGUUGUAAAGCUCUUUCAGCUGUGAAGAUAAUUACUGUACCAGCAGAAGAAGCCCCGGCUAACUCCGUG